UCCAAGCACAAAUAGCUUUCAGCUCCUUGCAGUUCAAUGUAAUAACUGGUGUUCUUUAACAAUUUUAUCAGUGACAUCGAUGAUGGAAUUGAGUGCACCCUCAGCAAGUUUGCUGACGACACCAAGCUGAGUGGCGUGGUUGAUACGGUGGAAGGAAGGGAUGCCAUUCAGAGGGACCUCGACAGGCUGGAAAGACCUCCUCAGACCCAUGCUGUGCCAGAGAAUAUGGGGUGUGAAGAGCAGAGAAGACAAAUGAACAGAGCAGGACUUUACAGAGGGACCAGGCUGAGCCCUGCGUCCUUCUAUAAUCCAAAGUUGGGAGAAAAAGCACUCUGCACCUGAGGACUCUUCUGGAGAGAAGGUUUUCUUCCCAACACGUGCAAGUGAAGCCCACUGGGAAAAUCCUCCUGUGGAGAAGACAAAUCCCCCUGGAAACAGGAAAGCUCUCCAGAAAUACUGCCUCUGAGUAAAAUAAAAUAUUCCUAAGAUCUAGCCUAGAUCUCCUCUCUUUUACUUCAAAGCCAUUCCUCCUUGUCCUGUCACCAUCAGACCAUGUAAGAAGAAAGGCAGAGCAGCUGCUAUGUCUUGCUCUGAGAGGUACCAGCUUCUACUGAAUGAGCUGUGGUGUGGUGGGAGAACAGAGCUGCCCUGAGGCACACAAGCCCUCUCCUGUCCUUUCCCAUCAUACAAGCAGCUUUGAUUUCAUCCUGAUGAGGAAAGGCCAAAGAAAGCACCAGCAAGUCACAACCAGGAACCAAAGAGGAAUUCCUGGACAUGGACAUUUCUAUCAAUGAUUAUUCCCUCUGGAGCAAGUAAUACUGAAAUCAUACAAGGAGAAAAGAAAAAAAAAAAAAGCAAUCCAGAGAUUAAGGGAAGUAAUAGAAGAGGUUAGGGAGUAAUCAGUUGCUUUCAGUCCAUCUGCAAGAAACCAUGAGCAAGGGGGACCCAGCCCACCAUGGUCAGUCCACAGCCAGGAGCAUAGAACUGAAGGAUAUGAACUGUAGACUUCUGAGCUGGAAGAGCUUAAUUUGAGCAGGGAGAAAAGGCCCAGCUGUAUUUGGAAAGAGCCUGAGGGAAUGUCCCAGCACACUGUGAUGGUGGAUGACUUCAGCUGUUGAGGUUGGGCAGGAUAAACCUUGGCAAGGUGAAAGCCAAGAGAAGGAGAGGAAUUUCAAGGUGAAACUGUUUUGCACACCAUUUCUAAGCUAGAGAAAGGUGCUUGGAAAUACCAAUCUCCAGCAAUGAAUAUUUCAAAGGGUAUUUCAAGAGAUGGUCAAGAGGUGUUUCAACAGUUACCAAGGCUUUCAGAAGGGAUUUUGUGGGCACAGGAGUAUUCUCCUCCUGUCCUUCUACCUCAACUAUGCAUCUACUCACGUAUCAACUUGUGGCCAUUUCUGUACUUUAAAUACUACUCUGUUUCACUCAGUCACAUGCAAAAAGACUCACUUCUUCUCAUGAGACAGCACCAUUAAUCUUCUGCCAGUGGACGAUGGCCCAGGAUAAAUAAUUUUCAUUUACUCCUUGAGUUUAUUGUUUGAACUUCACAAAAGAAGGAACUGCUACUGCUUCCUCUCUGAAGCUGUGCACCAUUUCAGACCAGAAAGGAUCUCAAGAUUUAGUACUUCAUUUCACAUGCUUUUCUGUUGAGCAAGCUAGAUGACAAACUGCAGAAUUCUUGCACAGUGGAAACAGACUUGUCUUGGAAAUUAUG